rnacentral:tRNA from 5 species
GGUCACGUAGCUCAAUGGAUAGAGCAACUGCCUUCUAAGCAGUAUGUUACAGGUUCGAAUCCUGUCGUGAUCA